CCUCCAGUCUGAAAAAACAAGACCAGCUGAGGAUCUGGCAAGCACCAGACUGAAGAGAAAAAAUGGCGAUCCUGAGGUGGCCACACUCUGCUGUGAAACACUCCCCACCUUGGCAGUGUGCUUGAGAACCCCAGAAGCCUUUGGAAUACCCCAAAGCCAUAACCGGGACAGAAAACUGCCAGGCCUCCAGCUUGACGCUGCCACCGUCCCAUUACCAGUUCAUCUUAAGACACUCUGUGCCUGGAGAUGACAAAGUCUUUGCCUUUCAAAAAGCUUAGAAAAUAUUCAUUAAAGAUUUCAGAAAAUGAGCGUUUCACAUCUCAUGGUCUUCACUGUGUAAAGAAGAGUUGUGCAGGAUGUUUUUCAGCAAAUCCAGUUCUAUAAUGACACUAUCAACCUUUCUUGUGGAAAUAUGAGGGAGUAAAUUGUGAUGACAUUCUUUCCACUGUAACAAUGAAUGCUAUUCAUUGGU